UCGGGAAUUUUGGGCAAUGGGCGAAAGCCUGACCCAGCAACGCCGCGUGAGGGAUGAAGUGUUUCGGUAUGUAAACCUCGAAAGAAUGGGAAGAAUAAAUGACGGUACCAUUUAUAAGCUCCGGCUAACUACGUGCCAGCAGCCGCGGUAAUACGUAGGGAGCAAGCGUUGUUCGGAUUUACUGGGCGUCAAGGGCGCGUAGGCGGCGCGGUAAGUCACUUGUGAAAUCUCUGAGCUUAACUCAGAACGGCCAAGUGAUACUGCUGUGCUAGAGUGCGGAAGAGGCUACCGGAAUUCUUGGUGUAGCGGUGAAAUGCGUAGAUAUCAAGAGGAACACCUGAGGCGAAGGCGGGUUGCUGGGCCGACACUGACGCUGAUGCGCGAAAGCCAGGGGAGCAAACG
rnacentral:rRNA from 1 species